rnacentral:rRNA from 1 species
AUUGAACGCUGGCGGCAGGCCUAACACAUGCGAGUCGAGCGAGCGGCGGACGGGUGAGUAAUGUAUGGGGACUGCCCGAUAGAGGGGGAUAACUACUGGAAACGGUGGCUAUUACCGCCUACUGUCGGAUAACCUAUAUGGGAUUAGCUAGUAGGUAAGGUAAUGGCUUACCUAGGCGCCGAUCCCUAGCUGGUCUGAGAGGAUGAUCAGCCACAGUGGGACUGAGACACGGCCCAGACUCCUACGGAGGCAGCAGUGGUGAAUAUUGCACAAUGGGAGCAAGCCUGAUGCAGCCAUGCCGCGUGUAUGAAGAGGGCCCUAGGGUUGUAAAGUACUUUCAGUCGGGAGGCGUUAACGACAGAAGAAGCACCGGCUAACUCCGUGCCAGCAGCCGCGGUAAUAC